GAUUUAUUAAACUAAAAUAAUUGACUCGACUAAAAGAUGUUUUGAAAACAUUUUAUAAGAGGUAAAUCUUUAGAGUCAG
rnacentral:tRNA from 1 species